rnacentral:rRNA from 1 species
CCCUUAGAUGUCCUGGGCCGCACGCGCGUUACACUGAUGCAUUCAACGAGCUUAUAACCUUGGCCGAGAGGCCUGGGCAAUCUUGUUAACGUGCAUCGUGAUAGGGAUAGAUUAUUGAAAUUAUUAAUCUUGAACGAGGAAUUCCUAGUAAACGCAGAUCAUCAAUCUGCAUUGAUUACGUCCCUGCCCUUUGUACACACCGCCCGUCGCACCUACCGAUUGGAUGGUCCGGUGAAGCUUUGGGAUCUGAGCGGAAAGAGCGUUUCGCUGUUUCUGCUCGGAAAACUCAGUCGAACCUUAUCAUUUAGAGGAAGGAGAAGUCGUAACA